GAUCCAAUUUUCUGCCACCGAAUACAUUAGCAUGGGAUAAUGGAAUAGGACCCUGUCCUCCUAUUUUCAGUUGGUUUUGGCAGCGCGAGGACUAGGGUAAUGAUUAAUAGGGAUAGUUGGGGGCAUUAAUAUUUAAUUGUCAGAGGUGAAAUUCUUGGAUUUAUGAAAGAUUAACUUCUGCGAAAGCAUCUGCCAAGGAUGUUUUCAUUAAUCAAGAACGAAAGUUAGGGGAUCGAAGACGAUCAGAUACCGUCGUAGUCUUAACCAUAAACGAUGCCGACCAGCGAUUAGGAGACGUUGAAUACAAAACACCACCAUCGGCGCGGUCGUCCUUGGCGUCUGUCCCUUUCAACGGGGGCA
rnacentral:rRNA from 1 species